UACGUAGGCAGCGAGCGUUGUUCGGAGUUACUGGGCGUAAAGAGUGCGUAGGCGGUGUCGAAAGUUUGGCGUGAAAUCUCCCGCUUAACUGGGAGGGUGCGCCGAAAACUGCGGUGCUGGAGUGUGGGAAAGGCAAGCGGAAUUCCUGGUGUAGCGGUGAAAUGCGUAGAUAUCAGGAGGAACACCGGCGGUGUAGACGGCUUGCUAGACCAUAACUGACGCUGAGGCACGAAAGCGUGGGUAGCAAACAGG
rnacentral:rRNA from 1 species